rnacentral:piRNA from 1 species
UCUUCGUUUUUUCAGUUUGAA